rnacentral:rRNA from 1 species
GAUGAACGCUGGCGGCGUGCCUAAUACAUGCAAGUAGAACGCUGAAGGAGGAGCUUGCUCUUCUGGAUGAGUUGCGAACGGGUGAGUAACGCGUAGGUAACCUGCCUGGUAGCGGGGGAUAACUAUUGGAAACGAUAGCUAAUACCGCAUGACAACAGUUAUUGCAUGAUAACUGUUUAAAAGGGGCAACUGCUCCACUACCAGAUGGACCUGCGUUGUAUUAGCUAGUUGGUGAGGUAACGGCUCAUCAAGGCGACGAUACAUAGCCGACCUGAGAGGGUGAUCGGCCACACUGGGACUGAGACACGGCCCAGACUCCUGCGGGAGGCAGCAGUAGGGAAUCUUCGGCAAUGGACGGAAGUCUGACCGAGCAACGCCGCGUGAGUGAAGAAGGUUUUCGGAUCGUAAAGCUCUGUUGUAAGAGAAGAACGAGUGUGAGAGUGGAAAGUUCACACUGUGACGGUAUCUUACCAGAAAGGGACGGCUAACUACGUG